UCUUCUAAAAUGAUACCAUACUCACAGACGUCAGCGGGAAUAUCCUUUAAAUCAACAUAAGUCCAAGCAAAAGCGGACUUAUGAUGCAAGAAAAAUUCUGUCCAACAGGUCAACUCCUGCUCCUUAAUAUCUUUGUAGACCUUAAUUGUCCGUGGCUCUACUGUGGUUGCUAAGUUAAUAGUUUGACAUAAAGGUGCAACGGCAAUGUUCUGUUUCAAUCUCCACGCUGGUUAAAAAUCAGUCAGUAAGUCCGACAUGUGCGAAGUACUGAAUCUUGUGUCCAGGGCACUAAUAUGAUACACAUCAUACUUGGUCAUCCAAUCAAUACUA
rnacentral:lncRNA from 1 species